GGGAUAUUGCACAAUGGGGGAAACCCUGAUGCAGCGACGCCGCGUGAGCGAAGAAGUAUUUCGGUAUGUAAAGCUCUAUCAGCAGGGAAGAAAAUGACGGUACCUGACUAAGAAGCUCCGGCUAAAUACGUGCCAGCAGCCGCGGUAAUACGUAUGGAGCAAGCGUUAUCCGGAUUUACUGGGUGUAAAGGGAGCGUAGACGGUUUGCCAAGUCUGAUGUGAAAGGUGUGGGCUCAACCCGCAAACUGCAUUGGAAACUGGUGUACUUGAGUGUCGGAGAGGUAAGUGGAAUUCCUAGUGUAGCGGUGAAAUGCGUAGAUAUUAGGAGGAACACCAGCGGCGAAGGCGGCUUACUGGACGAUAACUGACGUUGAGGCUCGAAAGCGUGGGGAGCAAACA
rnacentral:rRNA from 1 species